UACGGAGGGAGCUAGCGUUGUUCGGAAUUACUGGGCGUAAAGCGCGCGUAGGCGGCUUUGUAAGUUAGAGGUGAAAGCCCGGAGCUCAACUCCGGAACUGCCUUUAAAACUGCAUCGCUUGAAUCCAGGAGAGGUGAGUGGAAUUCCGAGUGUAGAGGUGAAAUUCGUAGAUAUUCGGAAGAACACCAGUGGCGAAGGCGGCUCACUGGACUGGUAUUGACGCGUGAGGUGCGAAAGCGUGGGGAG
rnacentral:rRNA from 1 species